ACCAAAUUUUAAUUACAUGUAUGAAAUAUUUUAUGUCCAAUAAAUAAAAUGUACAUGUUCAGACGAUUUGGAAAAAUAAUAUGAAAAUAAUUAAUUUAUAAAAUUAUUUCAAAUGUUAUAUUUGUUAUAAUUAAAAUAUUAUAAAUUAAUAUAAUUUUCAUCGCUUAUCACCUUAGCAUGCAUUUAUUGUUUA